CGCGCAGGCGGCGGACCAAGUCAGGCGUGAAAGCCCCGGGCUUAACCUGGGAACUGCGUCUGGGACUGGUAUGCUAGAGUUCGGGAGAGGAGCGUGGAAUUCCCAGUGUAGAGGUGAAAUUCGUAGAUAUUGGGAAGAACACCGGUGGCGAAGGCGGCGCUCUGGACCGAGACUGACGCUGAGGCGCGAAAGCGUGGGGAGCAAACA
rnacentral:rRNA from 1 species